AGAGGUGCCGAGCGUUAGGCGGAAUUACUGGGCGUAAAGCGUGCGCAGGCGGUAAGUUAAGUCUGAUGUGAAAGCCCCGGGCUCAACCUGGGAAUGGCAUUGGAAACUGGCUUGCUAGAGUGUGGCAGAGGGGGGUGGAAUUCCGCGUGUAGCAGUGAAAUGCGUAGAGAUGCGGAGGAACACCGAUGGCGAAGGCAGCCCCCUGGGCCGACACUGACGCUCAGGCACGAAAGCGUGGGGAGCAAACAGGAUUAGAUACCCUGGUAGUCCACGCCCUAAACGAUGUCAACUGGGUGUUGGGGAAGCGAUUCCUUGGUACCGUAGCUAACGCGUGAAGUUGACCGCCUGGGGAGUACGGCCGCAAGGUUA
rnacentral:rRNA from 1 species